GAUGAAGAACGUAGCGAAAUGCGAUAAGUAGUGUGAAUUGCAGAAUUCAGUGAAUCAUCGAAUCUUUGAACGCACAUUGCGCCCUUGGGUAUUCCAAAGGGCAUGCCUGUUCGAGCGUCAUUUGUACCCUCAAGCUUUGCUUGGUGUUGGGCGUCUUGUCUCUAGCUUUGCUGGAGACUCGCCUUAAAGUAAUUGGCAGCCGGCCUACUGGUUUCGGAGCGCAGCACAAGUCGCACUCUCUAUCAGCAAAGGUCUAGCAUCCAUUAAGCCUUUUUUUCAACUUUUGACCUCGGAUCAGGUAGGGAUACCCGCUGAACUUAAGCAUAUCAAUAAGCGGAGGA
rnacentral:misc_RNA from 1 species